rnacentral:lncRNA from 1 species
UUUCUCAAACACUGGCAAAGCUUUCAAACCAAAGGACUUCCUUCCAGUAUAUAAGGUGGAGGAAGCUGUGUGUGACAGACAAAAGUGAAUGCUUUAUGUUUAGUUGGGUUUGAACACAUCUAAGACAACUAUUACUUUGAUAAAAACGUCUUUCAGGGGGAGUUACAGAGAUGAAAGCACAAAUUUGUAUAGCAUAAGCUUAUGGAGUGUGCUUUACUAACUUAGAUAUUGUUACAGAAGCAAUAUUAAUCAAAAGAAUCAUGUUCAUUUAGAACAAAAUCCAUAGAAGCUACACAAUUGAUCCCUAAGGAUAUUAAAACAUUACUAGUGAUCAGCAAGGAGAAACCAAAAAAGAGAUAAUUGGUGUUAGGCAAACAAAACAAAAACAAUCUUGCAGAAACCCAAAACUAAUAUGUCCAUUUUAAGGGGGCAUAGUAGUGAGGAACUAUUGUGGUAAAUUAGGUUUGAGCAGAUGCUUAGGGUUUAAACCAACGCAGGGAUAGUAGAAAUAGAGAGGAGACUAAUUUGAAAGAUACUCAGGAAGUGAAAUUCACUGGACCUCACAGAGGUGGUAGGGACAGAGUAGGAGAAGGAGAGAGAGGAAUUAGAGAUGUUUCUUAAGAUUUCUGUCUUGGAAGACUGGGUGAAUGCUAGUGCCACCCACAAAGGAGAGAUUAUGGAAGAGAAAGAUUGCUUUGGGAAAAAGAAGACAAAUAUUUCUUGACAUUUUGCAUGUCAGAUGUAUAUGCGCAUCCUUGAAGUGAAGUACCUAUUUGGCAGAUAAUAUCCAGUUGUAUGAACACAUGAGUAAUAGUGAAAGUUAUAGGCAUGGAUGGGAUUUCCAAGGGACACCAAAGAAUGGGAAAACAACGUGGUAUCCCCAGGGAUACCCCAUAAAGGAGAUAAAAUAGGGCAUAUCAGAGUAUUAGGAGGAAAACCUAGAGAAGGGAGUUUCUUGAAAUUUAAGGCAAAAAGAUUUUCCAGAGGAAUGAAAGGUCAACAGUGCAAAUAUCCCAGACAGCUCAAGUAAAUUAGAGAUGCAAACAGUAACUCUUAGAGGGGAGCAUCUUUUUUCCAGUCUUCUAGUUU